rnacentral:rRNA from 1 species
CAGUAGCCGCGGUAAUACGUAGGGUGCGAGCGUUAAUCGGAAUUACUGGGCGUAAAGGGCACGCAGGCGGUGACUUAAGUGAGGUGUGAAAGCCCCGGGCUUAACCUGGGAAUUGCAUUUCAUACUGGGUCGCUAGAGUACUUUAGGGAGGGGUAGAAUUCCACGUGUAGCGGUGAAAUGCGUAGAGAUGUGGAGGAAUACCGAAGGCGAAGGCAGCCCCUUGGGAAUGUACUGACUCUCAUGUGCGAAAGCGUGGGGAGCAAACAGGAUUAGAUACCCCCGUAGUCCCUGUCUCUUAUAC